UAGUAUGAUUUUACAUAGGAUUUGUGCUACAUUAGAACAGUAAAGACAAAUAUCACUUAAGUAAAAUAAACAUUAAAUAUUAAAUAACAAAAAAAAAAAUAAGGUGUAAACACUAAGAUAAUCUGGGAAUCUGUUAUUGCAACACAUCCAAUUAAGUGGUUUAAAACCAGUAUAAAAAAGAUUAGGACUAAGUCUACUUGGAAUACACAAAGCUCAUUCCAGAAGCGUGUUUAAGAUCUGGUCCAAGAGUCCAGAACAGCCUUGACUCCCAGUGUGACCAUCAUCCCAUUUUCUUUGCUAGUUAACUUGCACCCAGUGUGCUUUAUUAUUAUGCCAAUUGUUUUCCUUAGAUAGUUGAGCAAAUAGUUUUCAUGGUUGCCUCUUGCUAACAUUGGGUAAUAUUUAAAGCCCUCUGCUCCUGUAUGUGUAUCUGCCUUCAAAUUGGUUGUUGACUUAGGAUGACACCAUUAAUUCAAGAGAGUUUCCUUAGGCAAGAAAUGCCCAGAGGUGUUUUGGCCUGUUCCUUUCCCUGAAAUAUAGACCACAGUACCUCUUAUUAACCAUCGGUUCCCUUCCAAGUACUAAUAGGGACUUACCCUGCUUAGCUUUCAACAUCAGACAGGAUCUAGUGCCUAUAUAGUUUCAGCUUCCCCACCCUUUUCUGGUUAAUUUGCAAUUUUAUUUCAAUAUGGUGCUGUUCUGCUUUUGUAUGAUAACAUUUUCUUUUCUUUUUAAAAAUAGUUUUACAAUAUUUUCCAAAAGGAAAAAAAAAGAGACUACCGAGCAUUAUCCUCAACUUUACCUAUAGCCCCACUCUACAUUUGAUGGUGCUAAAUAAAUGAGUAAUAAACUUGCACCUUUUGUGUUUAACAGCCAUUGGUACUGACUCUACAAUAUAUAGGCAUGCUUCAAGGGGAUGUCACAUAAAGUUCCACCAGGCAAAAAAAACCACACGACCUGUUUCUCUUUCCUGAAAAUCCACUUUUUUGUAAUCUCUCCCCACUCCCCACAACAUGGCCGGUUGGUGGAAAAUUUGGCUAAGUAGAUAUAGCCAGAUGUCCAUGAAAGAUGCAUAUUAUCUACCCAGCAAUUGAAUGUGUUAGAGGUCACACUUGUCAGAAAGCUAACAACAUUUUAUUUAUAUUUCUCCCAUCUCCCCAAGGAGACUCAGAGCGGAUUACAUCAUAUAAACAGAUACAGGCAAACAUUCAAUGCCUUGUUACAAUGAAAUACAAUGAGACACAAAUACACAGAGAAAGGCAAAGGCUUCUCCUUUCAUUUCUGGCUCUGGAGGCAGUGCUCAACUGUGGCUCUGGGGGAGAUACUCUUCUCCAUUUCCAAGCCAAGGAGCCUGCAUUGUCCAUAGACACCUCCUGAUCUGUGGAUGAUAUGACUGCUUGGAGCAUCUUUUGGCCUUUUUUCCACUGAAGCGGUACUUGUUUAUCUACUCACAUUUGCAUGCUUUUGAACUGCUAGGUUGACAGGAUCCUUUCUCCCUUCAAAUAGCUCCUUAGACCAGGUACUUAGACCUCAAGGUAAUCUCCAUAGGGAGCAGUGAAUGUGUUUUGUUCAGUUGAUUCAUGGUAGUGUUAUGAAUAACUUUUCAAUAACUAUAAAGCAUAGGUUCUUUUUAUUGCAAUUUCAGCGUGAGAGGUAUAUCAGAACUUUUACAGAACAACAAAGAAAGAAUUAGACAUACAGACAUACAGAUUCACAAACAACCUACAGUUACAUUGGCUAACAAACAAACAAAGGGGGGGGGGGUGUUACAUUUUCAAUCAGCAUUCACACACAACAUGCAUCCAUCUUCAUGCAUACAAAUAUUCCCAUAUCCUUUCUCCCUCCUUGGAGAAGCACUUGCUUAGGCCAGGCCCAGCUUCCACUGCAGCCUGCCAACACAUAGUUCCAAAACGCCAAAACUUCAAAACUCCAAAAUUCAUUUUUUCCCCUAAGAACAAUGCCAAGGAUCAGACCCCUGUUUCCAUACAGCAGAACUGACUCCCUGCAAUGUAAAAUGACUCCAAAAGCACUCUUUCCUCUUCCCUUGAGAAAAGAAGGCCCAGUGAUCAGACUUUUGCCCUGCAAAUCUGCCAUUUUCCCAUACACCAUCUCCACUGAACAUGGCGGGUGAACAGCAUUGCUGUCUGUCACACUUUCUGGAUCAUCACAAGAUCACUUAUAUAGCAAUAUUUUGCUGAUGUUGUCCCAAAGUUAUAAAUGAAUUAUAGAUGUCUUCCAUCCCGGCUCCAUCUCAGUUUCCUGGACCAGAUAUCGACUCUUCUGGAUUACUAGUGUUAGCUUUGUGUUGACUUCCUUCUUAACAGUGGUAAACAUUUCCUUAACUUGAUUUAAACAUUUCUCUUAUCACUGUCACAGUUCUUAUCACAGUUUACCAGGCAAGUCAACUAUUUCAGGUCCCAUUAGCAGGUUUUAAUUACAAUUCAGCAAGCAGGUAGUUUGUCAUUCCAAACCUUAAUAUUUUUUAAUGGUAUCUCCAAAAUUAUUAGGCUUCAUUCAUUCAUCUUCCAUACAGUUCCAUUCAAACCAUAUAUCAUAUUUUUGUCACAGUAAUAAGGGUGACUAUGUUCUCUAUCAAAACAUAUCCAAGCCAGCCAGACCCAGCUGGAAAAAGAAUAAGCAAGUAAAAGUGUAUUAAAACACAAUUAGAUCAUACAUGAACAUUUGAGCUAUAUAAUCCUUCACACUUCUUACAAACCCUCUUCAGUUCUUCGCCAUGGCUGACUGUCCUAUUUCUAUUAACCCUUUUUAUUUAUCUAUGUCAUCAUUUUUCUUCUCUCUCUGCAAUCUUUUCCUUAGUUCUAUGGCAUAUUUUCCUAUUCUCCUUCUAUGAGAAAUAAUCCUCAAUUUUAUAUCCUUUCUUGCUCCUUAAGUCCCCUCACACAGCAUUGCCUGAGCUGCGAUUGGCUGGCACCAAUUUCUGCAGAGGAGCUUCCCCUUGCGUUAACAGUGUAUUUUUCACAAAUACUGACAUGUCUCUCCAAAUAGUGGACAUUGGGUGCAUCUACACACUCAGAUAUAUGAUAUGUAUAUAUUUUAAACUGUUUGAUAUUUAUACUGAUGGGUAUAACGGCUACAAGCUGUAUUAACUGUUUAACUAUGUUUAUUGUUUUAUCCUUAAUUUAUUUUGUUUUAUUUUUGAUUUACAACUUUUUGUUUGAUAUCAUGUAUAUUGUUUUUGUGUUUUGAGCCUCCCCAAGUCCCUUUGGGGAGGGGGGAUAUUAAUAAAGAUGGUGGUGGUGGUGAUGAUGAUGAUGAUGAUGAUGAAUAAAACCCUCCUUCCCAUAAAACUUCUUCUUUUUUUCUAGAUAAAUGUAUAAUCACAUGUUUCUUCUGUAUGCCUUCCAGCAAAUACACUCUUCUCGGAAGUCUCAGUGCCUGUAAUGAGCAGGAUAAAGACGUCAGAGCUAUUUUGGAACUAAUUUUGUCCCUGCCUACUUGACAUUUUAACCAAGGAUUCCACAACACCAAAAUGCCCACAUAACAACCGACAUUGUCACCUCCUCUGUCUUGAAUAGCGGGGUGUUUAGCUGAUGAAAAAGAGGAUUAUCUGAAGUGCUAGAAUUGAAAUCUUAGUUGUGGCAUGCACAUUAACCAAUUAAUUGUGAUGUUUAUAUCAGUUGCAUCUCAUAUGUGCUUCACUGAGUUAUAUCCUUGGCAAUGUUUGCCUCAGUGAGGCUUGAACUUUGCGACAUAUAUCCUCAUUAUCUUGACAUUGUUUGAAGCAUUUUUGAACGGAAAAGGAGAAAAUUCUCAAUACAUUUGAGGGAAAAGUUGAAAAUAUAGUCAGAUCACCACAUUUGCAGGUUUGACUUUUGCAGAUUUGGUUGUUCUUGGAUUUGAUUAAAAUAAUCUAACUAGGAAUCUCUAGCUCCAUUUUGAUUCAAUUGUCAACUUCUUUUGGUGGUUGACCAUAGCAUUGUACUUGAGGUCCUGGAGUUUUAUAGAGAGGUGUUUUCUCAGGUAAAAAAUAGGGCUUUUUAUGAACAGUUUUUCCAGUUUCAUUGUGGUCUUGUAUCCAUAACCCUAGUGAAAGAAGAGGGUCAGUCCCACCAUUAGGCUUAAAGAGGUGUUUAUUUCUGUUGGCUGAUGCAAGGGGAUAUGGAGUGAACAACAGCAGCCUCUCAGCUGCCUAUUUAAUUCCCUUGGUGGUUAGAGCUUUGUGUUCAGAUCUCUCUCUUGUGUGUCUCUAUGCAGGACCAUAGCCAGGAAAAAAAUUGGGGAGGGGGGUUGAAACUUUUUUUUUAGCAAAUCAUGUAGAGUAGUUCCAUAAUGCAAAAUAAUUUAGAAAUCAGACUCCAUCAAUAAACUUCAGUGGACACUCAAAACAGAUAAACUUCAGUGGACACUCAUGAGAAUUUGGUUAAUCAGUUAAAAUUCAUGAGUAAACCAGGUUUUUUUUAAAAUCUGAAAAAUUUCAGGGUGGGGGCUUGAACCCCUCAACCACCCACCCAGCCACAGCCCUGUCUACACAUAAACUACAGUAUCUGCAGAACUGUUAUUCACAGUUUCAUUUAUCCAUGUCUAACAAUAUAUAAUCUCUAGGCAUUUUCUAUCCUCUAGCAUGAUUCUUGAGACAGACUCCUUCAUUUCAAUAGGGUUGAUAAUUAUCUGUGGUUCUGCAUAUCCACACAAAAUCCAGGAAACAUAUCCCCCAUGUAUACAGGGGCUACACUAUAUGGAGUUUGGUCGUGUCCUCAGUUCUGAAGCAAGAUUUCUGACUUCAUCACAAAGGCUUCGCCAGCAGACAGAGGGGGGAGCAGGGUGAAUCUGUUACCCUGCACAGCUCCCUCGCGACGACACAGUCCCCAUCACAUGUGGGAAGCGUCACCCUCCUGGAAAGGAGCCAUCUCAACAUGGACAUAUUCCCAUGUUGGGAGAGAAGCAUCCAAGGAUGCUUUCACUCUGGUUGGGUGAAGGCCUCCGUCAGAAAGCACACAGCAUUGUGUGAUGGCCGGCGUGGGGCUCCAUCCCCAAAACAAGGUAGAAGUGUCCUAGGAUGCUAAAAUUGCCCCAUCUAAUGAGGCCCCUAGCUCGGCUCCUAGUCUGAGCUAGGGGCAUUCAGACAAUGUGACCAGUCUAGCAGAGUUGAUGGCAUAGGAGCAUCGUUUCAAUGCUGGUGGUCUUUGCUUCUUCCAGCAUGCUGACAUUCGUCCGCCUAUCUUCCCAAGAAAUUUGCAAGAUUUUUCUGAGGCAAUGCUCAUAGAAUCUUUCCAGGAGUUAAGUGUGAUGUCUGUAGAAAGUCCAUGUUUUGCAGGCAUAUAGCAGGGUUGGGAGGUCAAUAGCUUUAUAAACAAUCACUUUGGUAUCCCUAUGGAUGUCCUGAUCGUCAAACACUCUCUGCUUCAUUCAGAGAAAUGCUGCACUCGCAGAGCUCAGGCGAUGUUGUAUUUCAGCGUCAAUGUUGACUUUUGUGAGAGGUGGCUGUCAAGGUAGCAGAAAUUGUCAACAUUGUCUAAUGUUACACCAUUAAGCUGUAUUUCUGGCACUGCAGGGGGAUUGGCUGAUGACUUCUGGAAGAGCACUUUGGUUUUCUUGAUGUUCAAUGUGUCUGUUAAUGGAAUGGGAGUUGGAAACCAUCUUGCGCCUCAACCCAAGAAGUGGACCGGCACCGUCUCUUUUUAGCAGGUGUAGGUGUCUUAUUUGUGAAGUUCAGGACAACAUAUGCUCCUGUGGCAGAAACAACAGAAUGAAAUUGCAUAUUCCUUUUGUUGGAAAUCCUCAAAAGGCAGGCUGUGUGAUUACUCUUCCAUGUGUUUAUCCGGUCCUCCUUGUUACGCAUCAGCUCUGCCUGGGUUAUGAAGUUUAAUACAUUAUUAAUUGAGUUUGUGUGGCUCUUUGGCAUGCCAAGCAAGGAACCUAUGCGAUAAGUUGCAACCAAAACACAAAGGCUGAAUCUUUAUGAGAAAACUCUGAACCAUUACAAACUUGCGGGUUCCAUCUGCCAGGAAUUUGCUGCCAGGAAAUAAUAAUUAGACAGACAAUUAAGUUUUAAAACAAGGCCAUGUUUAAAAGAAAGGUAACAUUUUUCUCCUCUUCCUCCUCUCACCUUGUCUCUGAAUUUGAUGUUGAAAUUGAUGGUCCCAUCAUUCCCCUUUCUAUCCAACUUAAGAUUCCUAAAAAUGUUAAAGCCAGUUGAGCUAAAAUUCCAUAUCACGAAAAGAUAAAAAGUUGAAAUAUAAUUGAAUUGUAAACAGAACUGAAAGCAAUUUAAAGGCAUGCAGAUUUUCUAAAACAAGCAAUGCACACAAAGGAUACCCAUGACAGGUGCCACUGUAGACUCUCUAGGAAAGGAUUUUAGGGUCUGGGUAGCCGCCACCAGAAAGGACCUGUCCCAUGUUCCUACCAAUGUAUUUAGCUAUUUUAUAGAUUUGAAUUACAUGCCACUUUUCUUUCAAAAUGGAAGCAAAAUGGAAGCUAUAUAAGUUAAACAGAUAAAUCUGUCAGUGUGGGUGAUUGAUGGGAGAAGCGACCUUCCAUUUAGAUGUCAAGACACAAAAAGGUUUGAGUGCUGGACUACAACUCUGGAGGUCAGGGCUUGAUUUCCCAUUCAACCAUAGAAACCCACUGUGUGACCCAGGUGAGUCACACACAUCCAGCCCCAGAAAUUCCCAUGAUAGGUUCAUUCUAAUGUUGCCAAAUAUGAUGCGAAGGUAGACAACAACAAAGUAGUCUAGCCGCAGCUUUUUGAACCAGAUUAAAUUUUCAAAUUAUUACUAAAAUUACUGUUGCAAAUAUUCACCGAAGAAGGUAAGAUAAGUUACAUUUUAAAAAGCUGAUCAUAUUUUUGGUAAAGGCAGCUAGAGCAAUUAUUACUUUAAAAUAGCUUGAAUAUACUGGGGAAAUGAAUGAAUGAAGUGUGUUGUUUGAGACGUAUGUUCAAAUGUGAGAAUAUAUAUUUUAUCAUUCUGGAUAUCCAAAAGAUCACAGAAAUGUAAUGUACCUCUGACAGGAUUAGUUGUCAAACUCUAUGUUGACAGCUUGCUGUCUGAAUUUCUGUGUGUCAUUGGCAGGGACAGGAUUCAAAUGAAGGCAGCAAUUAUAUUUUUCUAGAGUCUUUGAUACUAAGUCUUAAUAAUGGAAAAGGUCAAGAAUUUUGCUACUUGGUGGAUAAAAACUUCUUUGUUAUUUUAUCUCCUUAUAGAACCGAUAUCACCUUUCAGACUCCUACAUAAGUGAAAAGUAUAUUUCUGUACAAAUGGAAUGAAUAUAUAGUUUACAAUGGUUAGGAAUGGAUUGAAUGGAGUCAUGUUAAGAGUGAAUUGUUUUGUCCUGUGGAAUCAGUAUGUAAAGUAAGGCCUAAUUAAGAAACCGCAUGCUAUAACUGGAAUGAAUGCAGAGCUUUUGGCUUAGUGCACAGUCACUGAUGAGCAGAUUAAUCAAUUUGUUAUGAAAUGCACAUCCAAUAACUAUCUCUUUCCAUGUUCAUUCACUUAUCAGAGUGAUACUCUGGUUUCCCCUUUAUAUACAUGCGUUGUCAAAGAAGAAGAAGGAGAAAGAGGAAAACAAAUCCUGUGUCAAGACGCAACUUGAUAACAUACUGCAAAUCGCUGGAUGUGUUGCCAUCCUGUUGGGAGGCUUCUCUCUUGCCCCUGCAAGCUGGAGCUGACAGACGGGAGCUCAACCUUUCUCGUGGAUUCAAACUGCCAACCUUCAGGUUGUUCCGGUCUGCAAAACUAUUCUCGAAUGCCUGAUUGUUGAAAGGACGUAUUCUUCAAGCCUAGCGGCUGCCUGGAUUUCCUGGCGAAUUUAGUUUCUUCAAAGGAUGGAUGCUCUCUUUCCUCUGCCUGAAGUCACCUCUGUUCCAAGAUGAUUGUACAGUUCUGACAGCUAUUUAGACUUCCUGCUCCCUCCCCUGAUUGGCUGAAAAAGAGACAGAUUGGAUCUGCACUCAGAUUGGCCAAGGACUCUCUUGACAUCACAGCCUGCAGGAGGAGAUUUCCAUGGUGGGAGGAAUGACAGCUGGUGUUUGAUCAAUUCAAAGAAUCAAUCCACUGCAGAAACACCCCCUGAGAGGGCACAGUCCAUGAGAAAAUAAUGGUGCAGAUAUGCUGACAAGUCUCUGAUUAACUCAGUGUUCAUUUCCAUGUGAGACAAAGGGCUGUGGCGCUGUGAUGCCUCAUGGGCCUUGUAGUCCUGUUCCUAGUACUAUUGUGGCAGAUGAAGACGAAAACAUGGGGUUUUCGCCGGUUCAACAAGAGCCGGAGUUUCUUCACCUGCCGGAUGUUGAUGUUUGCCCUCAAGAAUUCAGUAAAACAGGCCUUGGGCAUUACUCCCCUCCGUUUCCCAGGAAGGAAUUUUAUUCUAGAGACAGAGGAGUUAGAGAGGCCCAACGGAGGAGUUCACGGAUCGCUGCCAAACAACAAGCUGAUUAGGACUGCUUCCCUUGGGAAAUUCUAAGGAGUCUUGCAUCUGGACAGAAUUGGGUUUCGCUUCUUGUUCUCUAGGGAAAGAGAUUUGUUGGCGGGAAAACAAGACCCAAUAUAGGUGUUUGGCGCGAGAGAUUCUUUGCGGAGUCAAUUGAUCAGUUUCAGGAGAGAGAUCGUGUGUGGACUUCGUAACCCCAGUUCCUUGCUUCCCGGAUCAAGCUUUCAAGCCUUUGCCUUGCCUUGCUGUGUAACCACGGACCCUGCUCCACGUUUCAUGUUUUGCCUUGUUUCCAGUCACGGACCUAGCCAAGAACCAAGUUUAUUUCCAGCCUUGUUGUCAAGCUUCAUUGGACUCAAAGACUCUGACAUUUCCCCACACUAUUGCUUGGCAAAAGUGUGUGUUUCGGUCAAGUGGAUUAAAACUUUGAACUCUAAUAUCAUUUAUUGGACAAUACAUUUUUGGACUAUAUUUGACCUCAUUUGAAAGGUCUGCUUCUGAACUAUAUUCUUCACUUGUUUUUAUUGCUUUUAUAUAUUUCCUUAAUAAAGUUAUUAGAUAGA